GAUGAACGCUGGCGGCGUGCCUAAUACAUGCAAGUCGAGCGAACGGACGAGAAGCUUGCUUCUCUGAUGUUAGCGGCGGACGGGUGAGUAACACGUGCAUAACCUACCUAUAAGACUGGGAGAACUUCGGGAAACCGGAGCUAAUACCGGAUAAUAUUUUGAACGGCAUGGAUCAAAAGUGAAAGACGGUUUUGCCGUCACUUAUAGAUGGUUCCGCGCUGCAUUAGCUAGUUGGUAAGGUAACGGCCUACCAAGGCAACGAUGCAUAGCCGAUCUGAGAGGGUGAUCGGCCACACUGGAACUGAGACACGGUCCAGACUCCUACGGGAGGCAGCAGUAGGGAAUCUUCCGCAAUGGGCGAAAGCCUGACGGAGCAACGCCGCGUGAGUGAUGAAGGUCUUCGGAUCGUAAAACUCUGUUAUUAGGGAAGAACAUAUGUGUAAGUAACUGUGCACAUCUUGACGGUACCUAAUCAGAAAGCCACGGCUAACUACGUG
rnacentral:rRNA from 1 species